AUGUAAGAAUUUAAAGGUCGAACAGACCUAUUAACUAAGCUACUGCACCUAGCCAUUAUCUUAAUCCAACAUCGAGGUCGCAAGCCCCCUUGUAGAUUUGAACUCCCAAAGGGGAUUACGCUGUUAUCCCUAAGGUAACUUAAUCUAACAAUCAUUAAUAAUGGAUCUAAAACUCAUAAAUAAAUGUUUAAUAAAUAAAAAAGUUAUAUAAAUAUUUCUCAUCACCCCAACAAAAUUCUUAAUAAACCCAUAAAAAACAAUAAACAAAAGCAAUAUUGGAAUAUAAAAAUAAAGCUCUAUAGGGUCUUCUCGUCUUCCAGUAAAAUUUAAGAUUUUUAACUUAAAAAAUAAAUUACAAUAAAUCAUAAUGAGACAGUCAGUAUCUCGUCGAGCCAUUCAUACCAGCCUCCUAUUAAAAGACUAAUGAUUAUGCUACCUUUGCACGGUCAAAAUACCGCGGCCGUUUAAAUCUUCACUGGGCAGGCCAAACCUCAAAUAUAAAACUAGAGGCCAUGUUUUUGAUAAACAGGCGAACACCAUAUUUGCCGAAUUCCUUAUUACAAAAUAAUAAAAAUUAAAUAAUAAACAGAAAGAAUAUACUAAUCUAAUCAUAAUUACUAACAAGAUAAAAUUAAAUGAUAUAUUUUAAUAAAUUUCUAAAUAAAAGUAAAUCAAAAUAAGAAUUUGUUAACUAUAACGUAAUAAAAAGAAGGAUGAUUUUAACCCUACUAACAAAUAAAAUAAGAGCUGUUUUAGACAAAAAAAAGAGCUUAUCCCCCAUUAUUUUUUAAUUAAAAAAUAGCUAUGUAAAAAGUAACAUAAAUAAAAAUUAACAAUAAAUUAAAUUUAUUUCUUAAAAAACU
rnacentral:rRNA from 1 species